UUGGGAUUUUUCUCCUCAGCUACGGCGCCUACCCCGCCCCUCCCAGCCAGAGCUACUCCCAGGGCGGGGGGCAGAGCUACUCCCAGCAGAGCUACGGCGGCUACGGGCAGAGCUCGGACACGGGCUACGGCCAGGGGGGCUACGGAUCCUCCUACGGACAGAGCCAGAGCGGUGAGCCAGGAAAACAUUCCCAAAAAAUCCCGAAAUUCCCAAAAAUCCCCGUCCUUCUACCCCGUUUUCAUCAAAAUCGGCGCUUUCGGAGCCAAAACUGACCCAAAGUUGGCUCAAAACUGACCCAAAUUUGCGUCAAAACCCACCCAAAACUGUCUGGGCAGAGCCAGGAUAGUAAAUGAGGUCAACAUUCCCAAAAUUCCAAAAAAAAUUCCAAAAAAAUUCCCGAAAUUCCCCAAAAUCCCCGUCUUUUUACCCCGUUUUAAUCAAAAUCGGCGCUUUCGGAGCCAAAACUGACCCAAAGUUGGCUCAAAACUGACCCAAAUUUGUGUCAAACCCACCCAAAACUGUCUGGGCAGAGCCAGGAUGGUGAGUGAGGUCAACAUUCCCAAAAUUCCCAAAUAAUUGCCAAAAAAUUCCCAAAAUUCCCAAAAAUCCCCGUCCUUUUACCCCGUUUUAAUAAAAAUCGGCGCUUUCGGAGCCAAAACUGACCCAAAGUUGGCUCAAAACUGACCCAAAUUUGCGUCAAAACCCACUCAAAACUGUCUGGGCAGAGCCAGAAUGGUGAGUGAGGUCAACAUUCCCAAAAUUCCCAAAACAUUCCCAAAAAAUUCCCGAAAUUCCCAAAAAUCCCCGUCCUUUUACCCCGUUUUAAUAAAAAUCGGCGCUUUCGGAGGCAAAACUGACCCAAAUUUGCGUGAAAACCCACCCAAAACUGUCUGGGCAGAGCCAGGAUGGUGAGUGAGGUCAACAUUCCCAAAAUUCCCAAAAAAUUCCUGAAAUUCCCAAAAAAAUUCCCCAAAAUCCCCGUCCUUUUACCCCGUUUUCAUCAAAAUCGGCGCUUUCAGAGCCAAAACUGACCCAAAGUUGGCUCAAAACUGACCCAAAUUUGCAUCAAAACCCACCCAAAACUGUCUGGGCAGAGCCAGAAUGGUGAGUGAGCUCAGCAUUCCCAAAAUUGCCAAAAAAUUCCUAAAAUUCCCAAAAAAAUUCCCGGAAUUCCCGAAAAUCCCCGUCCUUUUACCCCGUUUUAAUCAAAAUCGGCGCUUUCGGAGCCAAAACUGACCCAAAUUUGCAUCGAAACCAACCCAAAACUGUCUGGGCAGAGCCAGAAUGGUGAGUGAGGUCAACAUUCCCAAAAUUCCCAAAAAAUUCCCCCCAAAAAAUUCCCGAAAUUCCCCAAAAUCCCCGUCCUUGUACCCCGUUUUAAUCAAAAUCGCCGCUUUCAGAGCCAAAACUGACCCAAAGUUGGCUCAAAACUGACCCAAAUUUGCGUCAAUACCCACCCAAAACUGUCUGGGCAGAGCCAGAAUGGUGAGUGAGGUCAACAUUCCCAAAAUUGCCAAAAAAUUCCCAAAAAAAUUCCCGAAAUUCCCCAAAAUCCCCGUCUUUUUACCCCGUUUUAAUCAAAAUCGGCGCUUUCGGAGCCAAAACUGACCCAAAUUUGCGUCAAAACCGACCCAAAACUGUCUGGGCAGAGCCAGAAUGGUGAGUGAGGUCAACAUUCCCAAAAUUGCCAAAAAAUUCCCGAAAUUCCC